AGACCCGAAACCCGGUGAUCUAGCCAUGGGCAGGUUGAAGGUUGGGUAACACUAACUGGAGGACCGAACCGACUAAUGUUGAAAAAUUAGCGGAUGACCUGUGGCUGGGGGUGAAAGGCCAAUCAAACCGGGAGAUAGCUGGUUCUCCCCGAAAGCUAUUUAGGUAGCGCCUCGUGAAUUCAUCUCCGGGGGUAGAGCACUGUUUCGGCUAGGGGGCCAUCCCGGCUUACCAACCCGAUGCAAACUGCGAAUACCGGAGAAUGUUAUCACGGGAGACACACGGCGGGUGCUAACGUCCGUCGUGAAGAGGGAAACAACCCAGACCGCCAGCUAAGGUCCCAAAGUCAUGGUUAAGUGGGAAACGAUGUGGGAAGGCCCAGACAGCCAGGAUGUUGGCUUAGAAGCAGCCAUCAUUUAAAGAAAGCGUAAUAGCUCACUGGUCGAGUCGGCCUGCGCGGAAGAUGUAACGGGGCUAAACCAUGCACCGAAGCUGCGGCAGCGACACUGUGUGUUGUUGGGUAGGGGAGCGUUCUGUAAGCCUGUGAAGGUGGCCUGUGAGGGUUGCUGGAGGUAUCAGAAGUGCGAAUGCUGACAUAAGUAACGAUAAAGUGGGUGAAAAGCCCGCUCGCCGGAAGACCAAGGGUUCCUGUCCAACGUUAAUCGGGGCAGGGUGAGUCGACCCCUAAGGCGAGGCCGAAAGGCGUAGUCGAUGGGAAACGGGUUAAUAUUCCCGUACUUGGUGUUACUGCGAAGGGGGGACGGAGAAGGCUAUGUUGGCCGGGCGACGGUUGUCCCGGUUUAAGCGUGUAGGUGUGUGUUCCAGG
rnacentral:rRNA from 1 species